GGGGAGUGUCGGGGCCAGCUACAGCACAAAAGUCAAAUGUUGUAAAGUUAAAGGAAUGAACACAAGUUUCCUGUCGUCUGACACUGAAGUGGGCAUCUGUAGUAUACAACUGAAAUGACUGGCUGAAUCUGGAGACUUCUGAGCAAGAGAGAACAAAAAUACCCGGCAUGGCCUCAUCAUCAACACCUAAAUAUAAUUCAAACUCCUUGGAGAACUCCUCAAGUAAACAGACUCUAAAAGAUGGAACUAAUUGGGAACAAAAUGAAGAAAUACCUCGUCUGCCAGGGGAGACCAGGGUUACAGACAAAGAUGUUAUUUAUAUGUGUCCAUUUAAUGGCCCCGUUAAAGGAAGAGUGUACAUCACAAACUACAGGCUGUACCUAAGAAGUGUGGAAAAUGAUCCAGUUGUGAUAUUGAAUGUUCCAUUGGGUGUAAUUUCAAGGAUUGAAAAAAUGGGAGGAGCUUCAAGCAGAGGGGAGAACUCUUAUGGAUUAGAUAUAACCUGUAAAGAUAUGAGGAAUUUACGGUUUGCAUUAAAACAAGAAGGGCACAGUAGAAGAGAUAUAUUUGAAGUCCUCACAAAAUAUGCUUUUCCCCAGUCACAUAACUUGCUUUUUUUUGCCUUUGUAAAUGAAGAAAAGUUUUCUGAGAAUGGAUGGAUGGUGUACAACCCAAUGUCGGAAUACAGGAGACAGGGGCUGCCUAACGAACGGUGGCGAGUGACUUUCAUUAACGAGCAUUACGGGCUGUGUGACACGUACCCAUCGCUCUUGGUCGUGCCGUACAAUGCAACAGAUGAUGAUCUCAAGAAAGUUGCUGCCUUUAGGUCCCGAAAUAGAAUCCCGGUUCUGUCAUGGAUUCAUCCGGAGACCCAAGCCGUAAUCAUGCGCUGCAGUCAGCCCCUGGUUGGAAUGAGUGGCAAGCGGAAUAAAGAUGAUGAAAGAUACCUUGAUGUCAUCAGGGAGGCCAAUGGGCAGAUCUCCAAACUGACUAUCUAUGAUGCAAGGCCCAAUGUCAAUGCAGUUGCAAACAAGGCAACUGGGGGAGGAUAUGAAGGUGAAGAUGCAUAUCCCAAUGCAGAACUUUUCUUCUUGGACAUUCAUAAUAUUCAUGUCAUGCGGGAAUCUUUGAAGAAGCUGAAGGACAUUGUUUUUCCUAAUGUGGAAGAAUCACACUGGUUGUCAAGUCUGGAAUCAACCCAUUGGUUAGAGCAUAUAAAGCUCGUUCUGACAGGAGCCAUUCAGGUGGCAGAAAAGGUGUCCUCAGGCCGGAGCUCAGUGCUGGUUCACUGCAGCGACGGCUGGGACCGCACGGCUCAGCUCACCUCCCUGGCCAUGCUCAUGCUGGACAGCUACUACAGAACCAUCGAAGGCUUUGAAGUUCUGGUGCAGAAAGAGUGGAUAAGCUUUGGACACAAGUUUGCAUCGAGAAUAGGCCAUGGUGAUAAAAAUCAUGCUGAUACAGACAGAUCUCCCAUCUUUCUCCAGUUUAUUGACUGUGUGUGGCAGAUGUCUAAACAGUUUCCUACGGCCUUUGAGUUCAAUGAGCAGUUCCUGAUUACAAUCCUGGAUCACUUGUACAGCUGCCGGUUUGGCACUUUCUUGUAUAACAGCGAGUUCCUCAGAGAAAAAGAGAAAGUGACAGAGAAAACUUUAUCCUUAUGGUCUUUGAUAAACAGUGAAAAAUCUAAAUACACCAAUCCUUUUUAUAGUAAAGAGCUAAAUCGAGCACUCUAUCCAGUAGCCAGCAUGCGGCAUUUGGAGCUCUGGGUUAAUUACUACAUCAGGUGGAACCCCAGGAUUCGGCAACAACAGCCAAACCCCGUGGAGCAGCGUUACAUGGAGCUCCUUGCGUUGCGUGAUGAUUAUAUCAGGAGACUUGAAGAGCUUCAGAUCACAAAUAAUUCUAAGAUAUCCAAUUCAUCAGCCUCAUCAACAUCUCCCUCACAAAUGGUGUCCCAAGUACAAACACAUUUUUGAAGAAAAUGCUGGCUUCUUUCUAUACUGUAAUAGCAAGUGGUGCUUAACAUAAUCUAUAGCAUAAAGAGGAAUAUUCUAAUGCCUUACACUAGACUGUCCUAACACAAAUUAUUUUAGACUGUCUUCAUUUGAGGAGGACUUCAAAACAAACAAACCCAACUCGUCGAUUACGUGCCUUUCAGAACCUGUGGACUGGGAACAUUAUUAAUCAACUCAUAGCUAUGGAGGGCUUUAAGAGCUAUUUUGGUGUUGUGUCGCAGCGAGCAUUCUGUCAUGCAUGAGAAAACAUGAUCUGUAAC